AAUCCGUCGACUUUAGAAAUCGUGAGGGUUCAAGUC
rnacentral:tRNA from 4 species